UCCGUGUUAACCACGGCAGUCUCUUUAGAGUGCCCAACUGAAUGCUGGCAACUAAAGACAAGGGUUGCGCUCGUUGCGGGACUUAACCCAACAUGUCACCACACGAGCUGACGACAGCCAUGCAGCACCUGUCUAUCGGUUGUAUUGCUACAAAAGACGUAUCUCUACGUUUGUCCGACGAUGUCAAACCCAGGUAAGGUUCUUCGCGUUGCUUCGAAUUAAACCACAUGAUCCACCGCUUGUGCGGGCCCCCGUCAAUUCCUUUGAGUUUUAGUCUUGCGACCGUACUUCCCAGGCGGAAUACUUAUUGCGUUAGCUCCGGCUCGGCAGGGGUCAAGACCCGCCAAGCCUAGUAUUCAUCGUUUACAGCGUGGACUAC
rnacentral:misc_RNA from 1 species